GAAACAUCUUCGGGUUGUGAGGUUAAGCGACUAAGCGUACACGGUGGAUGCCCUGGCAGUCAGAGGCGAUGAAGGACGUGCUAAUCUGCGAUAAGCGUCGGUAAGGUGAUAUGAACCGUUAUAACCGGCGAUUUCCGAAUGGGGAAACCCAGUGUGAUUCGUCACACUAUCAUUAACUGAAUCCAUAGGUUAAUGAGGCGAACCGGGGGAACUGAAACAUCUAAGUACCCCGAGGAAAAGAAAUCAACCGAGAUUCCCCCAGUAGCGGCGAGCGAACGGGGAGCAGCCCAGAGCCUGAAUCAGUGUGUGUGUUAGUGGAAGCGUCUGGAAAGGCGCGCGAUACAGGGUGACAGCCCCGUACACAAAAAUGCACAUGCUGUGAGCUCGAUGAGUAGGGCGGGACACGUGGUAUCCUGUCUGAAUAUGGGGGGACCAUCCUCCAAGGCUAAAUACUCCUGACUGACCGAUAGUGAACCAGUACCGUGAGGGAAAGGCGAAAAGAACCCCGGCGAGGGGAGUGAAAAAGAACCUGAAACCGUGUACGUACAAGCAGUGGGAGCACGCUUAGGCGUGUGACUGCGUACCUUUUGUAUAAUGGGUCAGCGACUUAUAUUCUGUAGCAAGGUUAACCGAAUAGGGGAGCCGAAGGGAAACCGAGUCUUAACUGGGCGUUAAGUUGCAGGGUAUAGACCCGAAACCCGGUGAUCUAGCCAUGGGCAGGUUGAAGGUUGGGUAACACUAACUGGAGGACCGAACCGACUAAUGUUGAAAAAUUAGCGGAUGACUUGUGGCUGGGGGUGAAAGGCCAAUCAAACCGGGAGAUAGCUGGUUCUCCCCGAAAGCUAUUUAGGUAGCGCCUCGUGAAUUCAUCUCCGGGGGUAGAGCACUGUUUCGGCAAGGGGGUCAUCCCGACUUACCAACCCGAUGCAAACUGCGAAUACCGGAGAAUGUUAUCACGGGAGACACACGGCGGGUGCUAACGUCCGUCGUGAAGAGGGAAACAACCCAGACCGCCAGCUAAGGUCCCAAAGUCAUGGUUAAGUGGGAAACGAUGUGGGAAGGCCCAGACAGCCAGGAUGUUGGCUUAGAAGCAGCCAUCAUUUAAAGAAAGCGUAAUAGCUCACUGGUCGAGUCGGCCUGCGCGGAAGAUGUAACGGGGCUAAACCAUGCACCGAAGCUGCGGCAGCGACGCUGAUGCGUUGUUGGGUAGGGGAGCGUUCUGUAAGCCUGUGAAGGUGUGCUGUGAGGCAUGCUGGAGGUAUCAGAAGUGCGAAUGCUGACAUAAGUAACGAUAAAGCGGGUGAAAAGCCCGCUCGCCGGAAGACCAAGGGUUCCUGUCCAACGUUAAUCGGGGCAGGGUGAGUCGACCCCUAAGGCGAGGCCGAAAGGCGUAGUCGAUGGGAAACAGGUUAAUAUUCCUGUACUUGGUGUUACUGCGAAGGGGGGACGGAGAAGGCUAUGUUGGCCGGGCGACGGUUGUCCCGGUUUAAGCGUGUAGGCUGGUUUUCCAGGCAAAUCCGGAAAAUCAAGGCUGAGGCGUGAUGACGAGGCACUACGGUGCUGAAGCAACAAAUGCCCUGCUUCCAGGAAAAGCCUCUAAGCAUCAGGUAACAUCAAAUCGUACCCCAAACCGACACAGGUGGUCAGGUAGAGAAUACCAAGGCGCUUGAGAGAACUCGGGUGAAGGAACUAGGCAAAAUGGUGCCGUAACUUCGGGAGAAGGCACGCUGAUAUGUAGGUGAAGUCCCUCGCGGAUGGAGCUGAAAUCAGUCGAAGAUACCAGCUGGCUGCAACUGUUUAUUAAAAACACAGCACUGUGCAAACACGAAAGUGGACGUAUACGGUGUGACGCCUGCCCGGUGCCGGAAGGUUAAUUGAUGGGGUCAGCGCAAGCGAAGCUCUUGAUCGAAGCCCCGGUAAACGGCGGCCGUAACUAUAACGGUCCUAAGGUAGCGAAAUUCCUUGUCGGGUAAGUUCCGACCUGCACGAAUGGCGUAAUGAUGGCCAGGCUGUCUCCACCCGAGACUCAGUGAAAUUGAACUCGCUGUGAAGAUGCAGUGUACCCGCGGCAAGACGGAAAGACCCCGUGAACCUUUACUAUAGCUUGACACUGAACAUUGAGCCUUGAUGUGUAGGAUAGGUGGGAGGCUUUGAAGUGUGGACGCCAGUCUGCAUGGAGCCGGCCUUGAAAUACCACCCUUUAAUGUUUGAUGUUCUAACGUUGACCCGUGAUCCGGGUUGCGGACAGUGUCUGGUGGGUAGUUUGACUGGGGCGGUCUCCUCCUAAAGAGUAACGGAGGAGCACGAAGGUUGGCUAAUCCUGGUCGGACAUCAGGAGGUUAGUGCAAUGGCAUAAGCCAGCUUGACUGCGAGCGUGACGGCGCGAGCAGGUGCGAAAGCAGGUCAUAGUGAUCCGGUGGUUCUGAAUGGAAGGGCCAUCGCUCAACGGAUAAAAGGUACUCCGGGGAUAACAGGCUGAUACCGCCCAAGAGUUCAUAUCGACGGCGGUGUUUGGCACCUCGAUGUCGGCUCAUCACAUCCUGGGGCUGAAGUAGGUCCCAAGGGUAUGGCUGUUCGCCAUUUAAAGUGGUACGCGAGCUGGGUUUAGAACGUCGUGAGACAGUUCGGUCCCUAUCUGCCGUGGGCGCUGGAGAACUGAGGGGGGCUGCUCCUAGUACGAGAGGACCGGAGUGGACGCAUCACUGGUGUUCGGGUUGUCAUGCCAAUGGCACUGCCCGGUAGCUAAAUGCGGAAGAGAUAAGUGCUGAAAGCAUCUAAGCACGAAACUUGCCCCGAGAUGAGUUCUCCCUGACUCCUUGAGAGUCCUGAAGGAACGUUGAAGACGACGACGUUGAUAGGCCGGGUGUGUAAGCGCAGCGAUGCGUUGAGCUAACCGGUACUAAUGAACCGUGAGGCUUAACCUU
rnacentral:rRNA from 2 species